CCUACGGGCGGCAGCAGUGAGGACUAUUGGUCAAUGGACGAGAGUCUGAACCAGCCAAGUAGCGUGCAGGAUGCCUGCCCUAUGGGUUGUACACUUCUUUUAUAUGGGAAUAAAAUGUUCCACGUGUGGGAUUUUGUAUGUACCAUAUGAAUAAGGAUCGGCUAACUCCGUGCCAGCAGCCGCGGUAAUACGGAGGCUCCGAGCGUUCUCCGGAUUUAUUGGGGUUAAAGGGAGCGUAGGUGGAUGGUUAAGUCCGUUGUGACAGUUUGCGGCUCAACCGUAAAAUUGCAGUUGAAACUGGCAGGCGUGAGUACAGUAGAGGUGGGCGGAAUUCGUGGUGUAGCGGUGAAAUGCUUAGAUAUCACGAAGAACUCCGAUUGCGAAGGCAGCUCACUGGACUGCAACUGACACGGAGGCUCGAAAGUGUGGGUAUCAAACAGGAUUAGAUACCCGAGUAGUC
rnacentral:rRNA from 1 species